UACAGAGGUCUCAAGCGGUGCUCGGAUUCAUUGGGCGUAAAGGGUGCGUAGGCGGCGCGGUAAGUCGGGUGUGAAAUCUUGGAGCUUAACUCCGAAACUGCAUUCGAUACUGCCGUGCUUGAGGACUGGAGAGGAGACUGGAAUUUACGGUGUAGCGGUGAAAUGCGUAGAUAUCGUAAGGAAGACCAGUGGCGAAGGCGGGUCUCUGGACAGUUCCUGACGCUGAGGCACGAAGGCCAGGGGAGCAAACGGG
rnacentral:rRNA from 1 species